GAUGAACGCUGGCGGCAGGCUUAACACAUGCAAGUCGAGCGGGGAUAGGGUGCUUGCACCUGAUUCCUAGCGGCGGACGGGUGAGUAAUGCUUAGGAAUCUGCCUAUUAGUGGGGGACAACAUUCCGAAAGGGAUGCUAAUACCGCAUACGUCCUACGGGAGAAAGCAGGGGAUCUUCGGACCUUGCGCUAAUAGAUGAGCCUAAGUCGGAUUAGCUAGCUGGUGGGGUAAAGGCCUACCAAGGCGACGAUCUGUAGCGGGUCUGAGAGGAUGAUCCGCCACACUGGGACUGAGACACGGCCCAGACUCCUACGGGAGGCAGCAGUGGGGAAUAUUGGACAAUGGGGGCAACCCUGAUCCAGCCAUGCCGCGUGUGUGAAGAAGGCCUUUUGGUUGUAAAGCACUUUAAGCGAGGAGGAGGCUUACCUGGUUAAUACCUGGGAUAGUGGACGUUACUCGCAGAAUAAGCACCGGCUAACUCUGUGCCAGCAGCCGCCGUAA
rnacentral:rRNA from 1 species